rnacentral:rRNA from 1 species
UGGGGAAUUAUGGACAAUGGGGGAAACCCUGAUCCAGCCAUCCCGCGUGUGCGAUGAAGGCCUUCGGGUUGUAAAGCACUUUUGGCAGGAAAGAAACGUCAUGGGUUAAUACCCCGUGAAACUGACGGUACCUGCAGAAUAAGCACCGGCUAACUACGUGCCAGCAGCCGCGGUAAUACGUAGGGUGCAAGCGUUAAUCGGAAUUACUGUGCGUAAAGCGUGCGCAGGCGGUUCGGAAAGAAAGAUGUGAAAUCCCAGAGCUCAACUUUGGAACUGCAUUUUUAACUACCGGGCUAGAGUGUGUCAGAGGGAGGUGGAAUUCCGCGUGUAGCAGUGAAAUGCGUAGAUAUGCGGAGGAACACCGAUGGCGAAGGCAGCCUCCUGGGAUAACACUGACGCUCAUGCACGAAAGCGUGGGGAGCAAACAUG